AACGAACGCUGGCGGCAUGCCUAACACAUGCAAGUCGAACGAGACCUUCGGGUCUAGUGGCGCACGGGUGCGUAACGCGUGAGAACCUGCCCUUAGGUUCGGAAUAACUCCCCGAAAGGGGUGCUAAUACCGGAUAAUGUCUUCGGACCAAAGAUUUAUCGCCUUUGGAUGGGCCCGCGUUGGAUAGCUAGUUGGUAGGGUAAAAGCCUACCAAGGCGACGAUCCAUAGCUGGUCUGAGAGGAUGAUCAGCCACACUGGGACUGAGACACGGCCCAGACUCCUACGGGAGGCAGCAGUGGGGAAUAUUGGACAAUGGGCGAAAGCCUGAUCCAGCAAUGCCGCGUGAGUGAUGAAGGCCUUAGGGUUGUAAAGCUCUUUUACCCGGGAUGAUAAUGACAGUACCGGGAGAAUAAGCUCCGGCUAACUCCGUG
rnacentral:rRNA from 1 species